AUUUGCUCAGGCCAAUCUACACCCCAUGGCCAUUAAAAGUUGUACAAAUCAUGACGCUGCACCCCACGGUUUAGGUUCUAGGGGGCGCCAAAGACAACCCUAAAAUCCACAUAUUUAAAAGUCUUAUAACUUUUUAUUUUUGUCCUCACUGGCCUCCAAGUUUUCUAGGAUGAUGCAAUGUCCAGCCAUCAACACAUUUGUGAAGGAAUUUUUACUCCCCAAAAGAGCGCCCCCCAUGGCAGGAGAAAAAAGUCCAUUUUUUCUUGUCCCCUAAGGUGAAAAUACACAUUGUUGACUGUCACGCCUUUACGCUUUGUCAAAAUGACACAAAAAUUGAGACACACAUGUAACUCAAUAAGAUCUACGAAAAAGUCAAUGCGCGCGUAUCUGUCAAAUGUACGGUUAAAGGGUUAUUCCGCAUUUUUUGCCGAUCCGCACACAUUGGAAUUUCGCUAACUCCUCCGAAGGCUUUCUGUCCACCGGCACCACAUUUGCUCAGGCCAAUCUACACCCCAUGGCCAUUAAAAGUUAUCAAAAUCAUGACGCUGCACCCCACGGUUUAGGUUCUAGGGGGCGCCAAAGACAACCCAAAAAUCCACAUAUUUAAAAGUCUUAUAACUUUUUAUUUUUGUCCUCACUGGCCUCCAUGUUUUCUAGGAUGAUGCAAUGUCCAGCCAUCAACACAUUUGUGAAGGAAUUUUUACUCGCCAAAAGAGCGCCCCCCCAUGGCAGGAGAAAAAAGUCAAUUUUUUCUUGUCUCCUAAGGCGAAAAUUCACACUAUUGACUGUCACGCCUUUACGCUUUGUCAUAUUGACACAAAAUUUGACAAUCACGUGCCUUGCCUGGUAUCAUUUUUUUUCAGCACAACCUCACCUGUGCGAAUUUACAGUUAUUUUAUCAUGUUGACAUACUGAAUUUACACAAUGGACCCAAAUUCACACACAAAACAUAAAAUCCGAGUGGAAAAAAGUAACAUUUUUACUGUGAAAACCACAAAUAUGUGUGAUGAACUGUUUUUAAAACUUAAACUUCAAAUAAAAAUUGUAAACUUCAAAACAUAUGCAAAUUUUUAACAAAGAACAUAGUAAUUUACCUCUAUUGACAUCAAAAUGCAGGCAAUGGCCCAGGUGUUCUUUGUAAAAUUAUUUACAAAACACUGUAUAGUCUCACAAAUGUCACUUUUUAUUUAUGCCACUACAAAAAAACAUGAUGUAAAUGAUGCAUGAUGUAAAACAUGAUGUAAAAAACUUGUGUAGAUCCUCCUCUAUGUCAGUCCAUGUGUAAUUUUUCCAUAAUUCUUUGUUUUUUGCAGCAUUUUUGUUAGUGUAACUGCAGAUUGUGCUGACAGUGUCUAUGGCACAAAAAAAAAAAAAUUAAAAUGCCUCAACAUGAACCCCUGGUGGUCUCUGAGGGUGAAACCUGCUAACUGCUGCAGCUCUGUCAGCUUUAGUCUCCCAUGCAGAGCUCUGAGCGCAUGUGUGGCUCUGCACCCUUAGCAGCGUUGCUAACGCCUCAGUAAGGAAAGCCUGCUUCAUGUCAGAGUCUCUAAACUCCAGAAGAAGUCGAUAAAAGUCCCUUUCUUUCUAAAAAAAGUCGUUAGGGGGUCUGAAAAGUCAUUGAAUCUAACAACAAAGUCUCUAGGUUUGCAACUACGUGUCCCAGACUGCAUCCCUGCUGAGAGUCCCUCCCUCCCUUCUCAUAUUGCAGGAAGAACGUAAGCGCCCGCCCCUUGUCAAUCAGUCACCAUAUAAUUUUGGAUUGGUUGUUGUGGUGAAGUUUUCCACCAAUAGGAGAGAUGUUGUGGUGUGUUUUUUUUUCUUUUGGCAAGCCUUUUCCGCCUGUAAGACCUGUCGCUAAUGUCUGCAUGCUAUGUUUUCAUGUCUCAUACAGCGCGAUCGAGCGCCGAACGUGAUCAAAAUAAGCAGAAAAAAAGUAUCGCGGACAUAAUUUAUCAUAACUCUGGUUUUAUUUGGCCUAUCAACACAAUUUAAAAACUGGUAUAUAGGUUGAGGUCCUCACUUUUGAGAUAAGUUGAAACGGAGAGUCAACGAGGCUCCGUCUUGCAGCUACAUCCGGUUAAAUAUGUCAUGCGACUUGAACGCACACACAGACACACACACACGCACACACACACACACACACACACACACACUCAGAGUCUGGUUUUUAGCACCUGCAAAAACAUGCUAUUUACAUAUUUGACAAGAAUGCAGAGGCUCCUUUUGCCCCUGAAAAAAAUCAAAUUUCAAACACAACUUGACUGGUCAUUUCUCCAAAAGACAACCAUGAAGCUCCAUCCAAACCUGAAGCAGGCAGUUGGUGCAUGUGUACAGUAACCUGAGGGGAGUGAGGUGAGUGCUUCUGAGGAGAACAUGAGCAGUGAAGAUUCACCUUGGAGCUAGAACAGAGACAUGCACAUGAUUAUACAGGGGCAGGGGCUCAAGUUUUUUCCAGUCGUUUAUACAAUAUGGAAAUUAAUGUGAAAUUAAAACACAAAGUAUUAAUAGAAAGGUAAUGACUGUCCUGUGUAGGUGACAGUGAUAUCCAAUAGGCUAGGCACUCACGAGGCUGGCUGUGGCAAGUGUAAGUGAAAGCAACACGCACUGGCAGGAAGAACAGCAAACGCCGAUGAAGGAAAAGGGUCUUUGCAGUGAUGGGCGUUACCAGAGAGGGCGAUGGCCAGAGGACACAAAUGGGACGGGGAGGCAGCACGUUGGGGGGGGACGCGACACGGCUCGGGCCCGCCAGUGCCCCAACGGGGUCCUAGUUAGGGCCCGAGCGUAGCUGCUAAGCAGCUGCGAGAGCCCUCUUGUUCCUGCAUGUUUCCUUCUUUUGUUAUUAGGGCCCGAGCGUAGCUGCUAAGCAGCUGCGAGAGCCCUAUUAUUCCCCAAGUGGUUUUUCUUUGUUUCUUUCUUUCUUCUUUUUCCUCCCCUUUGAACUGGAAAAUGGCCCACUUCCCACUGGCGAAAACUCAUGAAAUUUGGCAGGACGACCGGGCCUGGUGAAAAAUUUGAUAUUCCGAAGUCGCCCAAACAAGAAAAUGCAAAAUGGCUCCAUAGCGCCCCCUAAGGUGAAAAUUCACACUAUUGACUGUCACGCCUUUACGCUUUGUCAAAAUGACACAAAAAUUGACACACACAUGUAUCUCAAUAAGAUCUACAAAAAAGUCAGUGCGGGCGUAUCUGUCAAAUGUACGGUUAAAGGGUUAUUCCGCAUUUUUUGCCGAUGCGCACACAUUGGAAUUUUGCUAACUCCUCCGAAGGCUUUCUUUCCACCGGCACCACAUUUGCUCAGGCCAAUCUACACCCCAUGGCCAUUAAAAGUUAUUCAAAUCAUGACGCUGCACCCCACGGUUUAGGUUCUAGGGGGCGCCAAAGAUAACCCUAAAAUCCACAUAUUUAAAAGUCUUAUAACUUUUUAUUUUUGCCCUCACUGGCCUCCAAGUUUUCUAGGAUGAUGCAAUGUCCAGCCAUCAACACAUUUGUGAAGGAAUUUUUACUCCCCAAAAGAGCGCCCCCCCAUGGCAGGAGAAAAAAGUCCAUUUUUUCUUGUCCCCUAAGGUGAAAAUACACAUUGUUGAGUGUCACGCCUGUACGCUUUGUCAUAUUGACACAAAAUUUGACACACACAUGUAUCUCAAUAAGAUCUACGAAAAAGUCAAAGCACGCGUAUCUGUCAAAUGUACGGUUAAAGGGUUAUUCCGCAUUUUUUGCCGAUCCGCACACAUUGGAAUUUCGCUAACUCCUCCUAAGGCUGGCGUUCCACCGGCACCACAUUUGCUCAGGCCAAUCUACACCCCAUGGCCAUUAAAAGUUAUUCAAAUCAUGACGCUGCACCCCACGGUUUAGGUUCUAGGGGGCGCCAAAUAUAACCCUAAAAUCCACAUAUUUCAAAAUCUUAUAACUUUUUAUUUUUGUCCUCACUGGCCUCCAAGUUUUCUAGGAUGAUGCAAUGUCCAGCCAUCAACACAUUUGUGAAGGAAUUUUUACUCCCCAAAAGAGCGCCCCCCCAUGGCAGGAGAAAAAAGUCCAUUUUUUCUUGUCCCCUAAGGUGAAAAUUCACAUUGUUGAGUGUGACACCUGUACGCUUUGUCAUAUUGACACAAAAUUUGACAAUCACGUGUAUCUCAAUAAGAUCUACGAAAAAGUCAAUGCGCGCGUAUCUGUCAAAUGUACGGUUAAAGGGGUAUUUUGCAUUUUUUGCCGAUUCGCACACAUUGGAAUGUGGCUAACUCCUCCUAAGGCUUUCGUCCCACUGACACCAAAUUUGCUCAGGCCAAUCUACACCCCAUGGCCAUUCAAAGUUGUAAAAAUCAUGACGCUGCACCCCACGGUUUACGUUCUAGGGGGCGCCAAACAUGACCCUAAAAUCCACAUAUUUCAAAAUCUUAUAACUUUUUAUUUUUGUCCUCACUGGCCUCCAAGUUUUCUAGGAUGAUGCAAUGUCCAGCCAUCAACACAUUUGUGAAGGAAUUUUUACUCCCCAAAAGAGCGCCCCCCAUGGCAGGAGAAAAAAGUCCAUUUUUUCUUGUCCCCUAAGGUGAAAAUUCACAUUGUUGAGUGUGACACCUGUACGCUUUGUCAUAUUGACACAAAAUUUGACAAUCACGUGUAUCUCAAUAAGAUCUACGAAAAAGUCAAUGCGCGCGUAUCUGUCAAAUGUACGGUUAAAGGGCUAUUUUGCAUUUUUUGCCGAUUCGCACACAUUGGAAUGUGGCUAACUCCUCCUAAGGCUUUCGUCCCACUGACACCAAAUUUGCUCAGGCCAAUCUACACCCCAUGGCCAUUCAAAGUUGUAAAAAUCAUGACGCUGCACCCCACGGUUUACGUUCUAGGGGGCGCCAAACAUGACCCUAAAAUCCACAUAUUUCAAAAUCUUAUAACUUUUUAUUUUUGUCCUCACUGGCCUCCAAGUUUUCUAGGAUGAUGCAAUGUCCAGCCAUCAACACAUUUGUGAAGGAAUUUUUACUCCCCAAAAGAGCGCCCCCCCAUGGCAGGAGAAAAAAGUCCAUUUUUUCUUGUCCCCUAAGGUGAAAAUUCACAUUGUUGAGUGUGACACCUGUACGCUUUGUCAUAUUGACACAAAAUUUGACAAUCACGUGUAUCUCAAUAAGAUCUACGAAAAAGUCAAUGCGCGCGUAUCUGUCAAAUGUACGGUUAAAGGGCUAUUUUGCAUUUUUUGCCGAUUCGCACACAUUGGAAUGUGGCUAACUCCUCCUAAGGCUUUCGUCCCACUGACACCAAAUUUGCUCAGGCCAAUCUACACCCCAUGGCCAUUCAAAGUUGUAAAAAUCAUGACGCUGCACCCCACGGUUUACGUUCUAGGGGGCGCCAAACAUGACCCAAAUAUCCACAUUCUUAAAAGAAUCCACAUCCCCCCCCCCCCCCAUCCCCCAUACCCCAUUCCCCAUGGCAGGAGAAACAGUCAAGUUUUUCCUGCCCAUCACUCAAUGGCUCAAUCGCAUCGCUCUCCCGGCAACACCGUAACGAGGAGCAACUUGCCGUUUGAAUAUAUCCUAGCUGUGUUUGUGACCUCACUCAUGGUCCAGACUUUUUUCAAAUAGGACAUGUAGUUUGUCUGCAGCGAGUGUUUUGGUAGAAACUGCGCCUCCCAUUCAUUAUAAUGGGAAAUGACCACAGACAAGUGCGCACACCAUCUUUGGACCUUGAGUGUGACGCGAUCGGGAGGGGGAGGUGGUCGCGCUGGGGGCGGCGCGACGCGGCUCGGGCCCGACAGUGCCCCACCGGGGCCCUAGUUAUUAUUUUUCCUCCCCUUUGAACUGGAAAAUGGCCCACUUCCCACUGGCGAAAACUCAUGAAAUUUGGCAGGACGACCGGGCCUGGUGAAAAAUUUGAUAUUCCGAAGUCGCCCAAACAAGAAAAUGCAAAAUGGCUCCAUAGCGCCCCCUAAGGUGAAAAUUCACACUAUUGACUGUCACGCGUGUACGCUUUGUCAAAAUGACACAAAAAUUGACACACACAUGUAUCUCAAUAAGAUCUACAAAAAAGUCAGUGCGGGCGUAUCUGUCAAAUGUACGGUUAAAGGGUUAUUUCGCAUUUUUUGCCGAUCCGCACACAUUGGAAUUUCGCUAACUCCUCCGAAGGCUUUCGUUCCACCGGCACCACAUUUGCUCAGGCCAAUCUACACCCCAUGGCCAUUAAAAGUUAUUCAAAUCAUGACGCUGCACCCCACGGUUUAGGUUCUAGGGGGCGCCAAAGAUAACCCUAAGAUCCACAUAUUUAAAAGUCUUAUAACUUUUUAUUUUUGCCCUCACUGGCCUCCAAGUUUUCUAGGAUGAUGCAAUGUCCAGCCAUCAACACAUUUGUGAAGGAAUUUUUACUCCCCAAAAGAGCGCCCCCCCAUGGCAGGAGAAAAAAGUCCAUUUUUUCUUGUCCCCUAAGGUGAAAAUACACAUUGUUGAGUGUAACACCUGUACGCUUUGUCAUAUUGACACAAAAUUUGACAAUCAUGUGUAUCUCAAUUAGAUCUACGAAAAAGUCAAAGAGCGCGUAUCUGUAUAAUGUACGGUUAAAGGGCUAUUUUGCAUUUUUUGCCGAUUCGCACACAUUGGAAUGUGGCUAUCUCCUCCUAAGGCUUUCGUCCCACCGAUACCAAAUUUGCUCAGGGCUAUCUACACCCCAUGCCCAUUCAAAGUUGUAAAAAUCAUGACGCUGCACCCCACGGUUUACGUUCUAGGGGGCGCCAAAGAUGACCCAAAAAUCCACAUUCUUAAAAGUCAUUUUGGCCACUGCAGGAGUACAGAGUACUGCAGUUCUAGGGGGCGCCAAAGAUGACCCAAAAAUCCACAUUCUUAAAAGUCUUUUUGGCCACUGCAGGAGUACAGAGUACUGCAGGAUACACACACAUAUACACACACGCCAACACACACACACACACACACACACACACACACACACACACACACACACAGACACACACACACACUCAGAGUCUGUUUUUUAGCACCUGCAAAAACAUGCUGUUUACAUAUUUGACAAGAAUGCAGAGGCUUCCUUUUGCCCCUGAAAAAAAUCAAAUUUCAAACACAACUUGACUGUUCAUUUCUCCAAAAGACAACCAUGAAGCUCCAUUUCAAACCUGAAGCAGAUAGUUGGUGCAUGUGUACAGUAACCUGAGGGGAGUGAGGUGACUAUUUCUGAGGAGAACAUGAGCAGUGAAGAUUCACCUUGGAGCUAGAACAGGGACGUGCACAUGAUUAUACAGGGGCAGGGGCUCAAGUUUUUUCCAGUCAUUUAUACAAUAUGGAAAUUAAUGUGAAAUUAAACCACAAAUAUGUGUGAUGAACUGUUUUUAAAACUUAAACUUCAAAUAAAAAUUGUAAACUUCAAAACAUAUGCAAAUUUUUAACAAAGAACAUAGUAAUUUACCUCUAUUUACAUCAAAAUGCAGGCAAUGGCCCAGGCAUUCUUUGUAAAAUUAUUUACAAAACACUGUAUAGUCUCACAAAUGUCACUUUUUAUUUAUGCCACUACAAAAAAACAUGAUGUAAAUGAUGCAUGAUGUAAAACAUGAUGUAAAAAACUUGUGUAGAUCCUCCUCUAUGUCAGUCCAUGUGUAAUUUUUCCAUAAUUCUUUGUUUUUUGCAGCAUUUUUGUUAGUGUAACUGCAGAUUGUGCUGACAGUGUCUAUGGCUCAAAAAAAAAAAAAAAAUUAAAAUGCCUCAACAUGAACCCCUGGUGGUCUCUGAGGGUGAAACCUGCUAACUGCUGCAGCUCUGUCAGCUUCAGUCUCCCAUGCAGAGCUCUGAGCGCAUGUGUGGCUCUGCACCCUUAGCAGCGUUGCUAACUCCUCAGUAUGGAAAGCCUGCUUCAUGUCAGAGUCUCUAAACUCCAGAAGAAGUCGAUAAAAGUCACUUUCUUUCUAAAAAAAAGUCGUUAGGGUGUCUGAAAAGUCAUUGAAUCUAACAACAAAGUCGCUAGGUUUGCAACUACGUGUCCCAGACUGCAUCCCUGCUGAGAGUCCCUCCCUCCCUUCUCAUGUUGCAGGAAGAACGUAAGCGCCCGCCCCUUGUCAAUCAGUCACCAUAUAAUUUUGGAUUGGUUGUUGUGGUGAAGUUUUCCACCAAUAGGAGAGAUGUUGUGGUGUGUUUUUUUUUUCUUUGGCAAGCCUUUUCCGCCUGUAAGACCUGUCGCUAAUGUCUGCAUGCUAUGUUUUCCUGUCUCAUAUAGCGCGAUCGAGCGCCGAACGUGAUCAAAAUAAGCAGAAAAAAAGUAUCGCGGACAUAAUUUAUCAUAACUCUGGUUUUAUUUGGCCUAUCAACACAAUUUAAAAACUGGUAUAUAGGUUGAGGUCCUCACUUUUGAGAUAAGUUGAAACGGAGAGUCAACGAGGCUCCGUCUUGCAGCUACAUCCGGUUAAAUAUGUCAUGUGACUUGAACGCACACAUAGACACACACACACGCACACACACACACACACACACACACACACACACACACACACACACACACACACUCAGAGUCUGGUUUUUAGCACCUGCAAAAACAUGCUAUUUACAUAUUUGACAAGAAUGCAGAGGCUCCUUUUGCCCCUGAAAAAAAUCAAAUUUCAAACACAACUUGACUGGUAAUUUCUCCAAAAGACAACCAUGAAGCUCCAUCCAAACCUGAAGCAGGCAGUUGGUGCAUGUGUACAGUAACCUGAGGGGAGUGAGGUGAGUGCUUCUGAGGAGAACAUGAGCAGUGAAGAUUCACCUUGGAGCUAGAACAGAGACAUGCACAUGAUUAUACAGGGGCAGGGGCUCAAGUUUUUUCCAGUCGUUUAUACAAUAUGGAAAUUAAUGUGAAAUUAAAACACAAAGUAUUAAUAGAAAGGUAAUGACUGUCCUGUGUAGGUGACAGUGAUAUCCAAUAGGCUAGGCACUCACGAGGCUGGCUGUGGCAAGUGUAAGUGAAAGCAACACGCACUGGCAGGAAGAACAGCAAACGCCGAUGAAGGAAAAGGGUCUUUGCAGUGAUGGGCGUUAACAGAGAGGGCGAUGGCCAGAGGACACAAAUGGGACGGGGAGGCAGCACGUUUGGGGGGGGGGGGGGGACGCGACACGGCUCGGGCCCGCCAGUGCCCCAACGGGGUCCUAGUUCUUUCUUUUUUCUUUUUCCUCCCCUUUGAACUGGAAAAUGGCCCACUUCCCACUGGCGAAAACUCAUGAAAUUUGGCAGGACGACCGGGCCUGGUGAAAAAUUUGAUAUUCCGAAGUCGCCCAAACAAGAAAAUGCAAAAUGGCUCCAUAGCGCCCCCUAAGGUGAAAAUUCACACUAUUGACUGUCACGCCUGUACGCUUUGUCAAAAUGACACAAAAAUUGACACACACAUGUAUCUCAAUAAGAUCUACAAAAAAGUCAGUGCGGGCGUAUCUGUCAAAAUUACGGUUAAAGGGUUAUUUCGCAUUUUUUGCCGAUCCGCACACAUUGGAAUUUCGCUAACUCCUCCGAAGGCUUUCGUUCCACCGGCACCACAUUUGCUCAGGCCAAUCUACACCCCGUGGCCAUUAAAAGUUAUCAAAAUCAUGACGCUGCACCCCAAGGUUUAGGUUCUAGGGGGCGCCAAAGAUAACACUAAAAUCCACAUAUUUAAAAGUCUUAUAACUUUUUUUUUUGUCCUCACUGGCCUCCAAGUUUUCUAGGAUGAUGCAAUGUCCAGCCAUCAACACAUUUGUGAAGGAAUUUUUACUCCCCAAAAGAGCGCCCCCCCAUGGCAGGAGAAAAAAGUCCAUUUUUUCUUGUCCCCUAAGGUGAAAAUACACAUUGUUGAGUGUCACGCCUAUACGCUUUGUCAAAAUGACACAAAAAUUGACACACACAUGUAACUCAAUAAGAUCUACAAAAAAGUCCAUGGGCGCGUAUCUGUCAAAUGUACAGUUAAAGGGUUAUUCCGCAUUUUUUGCCGAUACGCACACAUUGGAAUUUCGCUAACUCCUCCGAAGGCUUUCGUUCCACCGGCACCACAUUUGCUCAGGCCAAUCUACACCCCAUGGCCAUUAAAAGUUAUUCAAAUCAUGAUGCUGCACCCCAUGGUUUAGGUUCUAGGGGGCGCCAAAAAUAACCCAAAAAUCCACAUUCUUAAAUGUUUUAUAACUUUUUAUUUUUGUCCUCACUGGCCUCCAAGUUUUCUAGGAUGAUGCAAUGUCCAGCCAUCAACACAUUUGUGAAGGAAUUUUUACUCCCCAAAAGAGCGCCCCCCCAUGGUAGGAGAAAAAAGUCAAUUUUUUCUUGUCCCCUUACAUGAAAAUACACAUUGUUGAGUGUCACGCCUGAACGCUUUGUCAUAUUGACACAAAAAUUGACAAUCAUGUGUAUCUCAAUUAGAUCUACGAAAAAGUCAAAGAGCGCGUAUCUGUAUAAUGUACGGUUAAAGGGCUAUUUUGCAUUUUUUGCUGAUUCGCACACAUUGGAAUGUGGCUAUCUCCUCCUAAGGCUUUCGUCCCACCGAUACCAAAUUUGCUCAGGGCAAUCUACACCCCAUGCCCAUUCAAAGUUGUAAAAAUCAUGACGCUGCACCCCACGGUUUACGUUCUAGGGGGCGCCAAAGAUGACCCAAAAAUCCACAUUCUUAAAAGUCAUUUUGGCCACUGCAGGAGUACAGAGUACUGCAGUUCUAGGGGGCGCCAAAGAUGACCCAAAAAUCCACAUUCUUAAAAGUCUUUUUGGCCACUGCAGGAGUACAGAGUACUGCAGGAUACACACACAUAUACACACACGCCAACACACACACACACACACACACACACACACACACACAGACACACACACACACUCAGAGUCUGUUUUUUAGCACCUGCAAAAACAUGCUGUUUACAUAUUUGACAAGAAUGCAGAGGCUUCCUUUUGCCCCUGAAAAAAAUCAAAUUUCAAACACAACUUGACUGUUCAUUUCUCCAAAAGACAACCAUGAAGCUCCAUUUCAAACCUGAAGCAGAUAGUUGGUGCAUGUGUACAGUAACCUGAGGGGAGUGAGGUGACUAUUUCUGAGGAGAACAUGAGCAGUGAAGAUUCACCUUGGAGCUAGAACAGGGACGUGCACAUGAUUAUACAGGGGCAGGGGCUCAAGUUUUUUCCAGUCAUUUAUACAAUAUGGAAAUUAAUGUGAAAUUAAACCACAAAUAUGUGUGAUGAACUGUUUUUAAAACUUAAACUUCAAAUAAAAAUUGUAAACUUCAAAACAUAUGCAAAUUUUUAACAAAGAACAUAGUGAUUUACCUCUAUUUACAUCAAAAUGCAGGCAAUGGCCCAGGCGUUCUUUGUAAAAUUAUUUACAAAACACUGUAUAGUCUCACAAAUGUCACUUUUUAUUUAUGCCACUACAAAAAAACAUGAUGUAAAUGAUGCAUGAUGUAAAACAUGAUGUAAAAAACUUGUGUAGAUCCUCCUCUAUGUCAGUCCAUGUGUAAUUUUUCCAUAAUUCUUUGUUUUUUGCAGCGUUUUUUGUUAGUGUAACUGCAGAUUGUGCUGACAGUGUCUAUGGCACAAAAAAAAAAAAAAUUAAAAUGCCUCAACAUGAACCCCUGGUGGUCUCUGAGGGUGAAACCUGCUAACUGCUGCAGCUCUGUCAGCUUCAGUCUCCCAUGCAGAGCUCUGAGCGCAUGUGUGGCUCUGCACCCUUAGCAGCGUUGCUAACUCCUCAGUAAGGAAAGCCUGCUUCAUGUCAGAGUCUCUAAACUCCAGAAGAAGUCGAUAAAAGUCCCUUUCUUUCUAAAAAAAAGUCGUUAGGGGGUCUGAAAAGUCAUUGAAUCUAACAACAAAGUCGCUAGGUUUGCAACUACGUGUCCCAGACUGCAUCCCUGCUGAGAGUCCCUCCCUCCCUUCUCAUGUUGCAGGAAGAACGUAAGCGCCCGCCCCUUGUCAAUCAGUCACCAUAUAAUUUUGGAUUGGUUGUUGUGGUGAAGUUUUCCACCAAUAGGAGAGAUGUUGUGGUGUGUUUUUUUUUUCUUUUUUGGCAAGCCUUUUCCGCCUGUAAGACCUGUCGCUAAUGUCUGCAUGCUAUGUUUUCCUGUCUCAUACAGCGCGAUCGAGCGCCGAACGUGAUCAAAAUAAGCAGAAAAAAAGUAUCGCGGACAUAAUUUAUCAUAACUCUAGUUUUAUUUGGCCUAUCAACACAAUUUAAAAACUGGUAUAUAGGUUGAGGUCCUCACUUUUGAGAUAAGUUGAAACGGAGAGUCAACGAGGCUCCGUCUUGCAGCUACAUCCGGUUAAAUAUGUCAUGUGACUUGAACGCACACACAGACACACACACACACCACACACACACACACACACACACACACACUCAGAGUCUGGUUUUUAGCACCUGCAAAAACAUGCUAUUUACAUAUUUGACAAGAAUGCAGAGGCUCCUUUUGCCCCUGAAAAAAAUCAAAUUUCAAACACAACUUGACUGGUCAUUUCUCCAAAAGACAACCAUGAAGCUCCAUCCAAACCUGAAGCAGGCAGUUGGUGCAUGUGUACAGUAACCUGAGGGGAGUGAGGUGAGUGCUUCUGAGGAGAACAUGAGCAGUGAAGAUUCACCUUGGAGCUAGAACAGAGACAUGCACAUGAUUAUACAGGGGCAGGGGCUCAAGUUUUUUCCAGUCGUUUAUACAAUAUGGAAAUUAAUGUGAAAUUAAAACACAAAGUAUUAAUAGAAAGGUAAUGACUGUCCUGUGUAGGUGACAGUGAUAUCCAAUAGGCUAGGCACUCACGAGGCUGGCUGUGGCAAGUGUAAGUGAAAGCAACACGCACUGGCAGGAAGAACAGCAAACGCCAAUGAAGGAAAAGGGUCUUUGCAGUGAUGGGCGUUACAAGAGAGGGCGAUGGCCAGAGGACACGGCUCGGGCCCGACAGUGCCCCAACGGGGUCCUAGUUCUUUUUCCUCCCCUUUGAACUGGAAAAUGGCCCACUUCCCACUGGCGAAAACUCAUGAAAUUUGGCAGGAUGACCGGGCCUGGUGAAAAAUUUGAUAUUCCGAAGUCGCCCAAACAAGAAAAUGCAAAAUGGCUCCAUAGCGCCCCCUAAGGUGAAAAUUCACACUAUUGACUGUCACGCCUUUACGCUUUGUCAAAAUGACACAAAAAUUGACACACAUAUGUAUCUCAAUAAGAUCUACAAAAAAGUCAGUGCGGGCGUAUCUGUCAAAUGUACGGUUAAAGGGUUAUUCCGCAUUUUUUGCCGAUCCGCACACAUUGGAAUUUCGCUAACUCCUCCGAAGGCUUUCUUUCCACCGGCACCACAUUUGCUCAGGCCAAUCUGCACCCCAUGGCCAUUAAAAGUUAUUCAAAUCAUGACGCUGCACCCCACGGUUUAGGUUCUAGGGGGCGCCAAAGAUAACCCUAAAAUCCACAUAUUUAAAAGUCUUAUAACUUUUUAUUUUUGCCCUCACUGGCCUCCAAGUUUUCUAGGAUGAUGCAAUGUCCAGCCAUCAACACAUUUGUGAAGGAAUUUUUACUCCCCAAAAGAGCGCCCCCCAUGGCCGGAGAAAAAAGUCCAUUUUUUCUUGUCCCCUAAGGUGAAAAUACACAUUGUUGAGUGUCACGCCUGUACGCUUUGUCAUAUUGACACAAAAUUUGACACACACAUGUAUCUCAAUAAGAUCUACGAAAAAGUCAAUGCGCGCAUAUCUGUCAAAUGUACGGUUAAAGGGUUAUUCCGCAUUUUUUGCUGAUCCGCACACAUUGGAAUGUGGCUAACUCCUCCUAAGGCUGGCGUUCCACCGGCACCACAUUUGCUCAGGCCAAUCUACACCCCAUGGCCAUUAAAAGUUAUUCAAAUCAUGACGCUGCACCCCAAGGUUAAGGUUCUAGGGGGCGCCAAAGAUAACCCUAAAAUCCACAUAUUUAAAAGUCUUAUAACUUUUUAUUUUUGUCCUCACUGGCCUCCAAGUUUUCUAGGAUGAUGCAAUGUCCAGCCAUCAACACAUUUGUGAAGGAAUUUUUACUCCCCAAAAGAGCGCCCCCCCAUGGCAGGAGAAAAAAGUCCAUUUUUUCUUGUCCCGUAAGGUGAAAAUUCACAUUGUUGAGUGUGACACCUGUACGCUUUGUCAUAUUGACACAAAAUUUGACAAUCACGUGUAUCUCAAUAAGAUCUACGAAAAAGUCAAUGCACGCGUAUCUGUCAAAUGUACGGUUAGAGGGCUAUUUUGCAUUUUUUGCCGAUUUGCACACAUUGGAAUGUGGCUAACUCCUCCUAAGGCUUUCGUCCCACUGAAACCAAAUUUGCUCAGGCCAAUCUACACCCCAUGGCCAUUCAAAGUUGUAAAAAUCAUGACGCUGCACCCCACGGUUUACGUUCUAGGGGGCGCCAAAGAUGACCCAAAAAACCACAUUCUUAAAAGAAUCCACAUUCCCCCCCCGCCCAUGGCAGGAGAAAAAGUCAAGUUUUUCCUGCCCAUCGCUCAAUGGCUCAAUCGCAUCCCUCUCCAGGCAACACCGUAAGGAGGAGCAACCUGCCAUUUGGAUAUAUCCUAGCUGUGUUUGUGCCCUCACUCAUGGUCCAGACUUUUUUCAAAUAGGACAUGAAGUUUGUCUGCAGCGAGUGUUUUGGUAGAAACUGCGCCUCCCAUUCAUUAUAAUGGGAAAUGACCACAGACAAGUGUGCACACCAUCUUUGGACCUUGAGUGUGACGCGAUCGGGAGGGGGAGGCGGUCGCGCUGGGGGCGGCGCGACGCGGCUCGGGCCCGACAGUGCCCCAACGGGGCCCUAGUUCUUUCUUUCUUCUUUUUCCUCCCCUUUGAACUGGAAAAUGGCCCACUUCCCACUGGCGAAAACUCAGGAAAUUUGGCAGGACGACCGGGCCUGGUGAAAAAUUCGAUAUUCCGAAGUCGCCCAAACAAGAAAAUGCAAAAUGGCUCCAUAGCGCCCCCUAAGGUGAAAAUUCACACUAUUGACUGUCACGCCUGUACGCUUUGUCAAAAUGACACAAAAAUUGACACACACAUGUAUCUCAAUAAGAUCUACAAAAAAGUCAGUGCGGUUGUAUCUGUCAAAUGUACGGUUAAAGGGUUAUUUCGCAUUUUUUGCCGAUCCGCACACAUUGGAAUUUCGCUAACUCCUCCGAAGGCUUUCGUUCCACCGGCACCACAUUUGCUCAGGCCAAUCUACACCCCAUGGCCAUUAAAAGUUAUUCAAAUCAUGACGCUGCACCCCACGGUUUAGGUUCUAGGGGGCGCCAAAGAUAACCCUAAAAUCCACAUUUUUAAAAGUCUUAUAACUUUUUAUUUUUUCCCUCACUGGCCUCCAAGUUUUCUAGGAUGAUGCAAUGUCCAGCCAUCAACACAUUUGUGAAGGAAUUUUUACUCCCCAAAAGAGCGCCCCCCCAUGGCAGGAGAAAAAAGUCCAUUUUUUCUUGUCCCCUAAGGUGAAAAUACACAUUGUUGAGUGUCACGCCUGUACGCUUUGGCAAAAUGACACAAAAAUUGACACACACAUGUAUCUCAAUAAGAUCUACGAAAAAGUCAAUGCGCGCGUAUCUGUCAAAUGUACGGUUAAAGGGUUAUUCCGCAUUUUUUGCCGAUCCGCACACAUUGGAAUUUCGCUAACUCCUCCGAAGGCUUUCGUUCCACCGGCACCACAUUUGCUCAGGCCAAUCGACACCCCAUGGCCAUUAAAAGUUAUUCAAAUCAUGACGCUGCACCCCACGGUUUAGGUUCUAGGGGGCGCCAAAGAUAACCCUAAAAUCCACAUAUUUAAAAGUCUUAUAACUUUUUAUUUUUGUCCUCACUGGCCUCCAAGUUUUCUAGGAUGAUGCAAUGUCCAGCCAUCAACACAUUUGUGAAGGAAUUUUUACUCCCCAAAAGAGCGCCCCCCCCAUGGCAGGAGAAAAAAGUCAAUUUUUUCUUGUCCCCUAAGGUGGAAAUUCACACUAUUGACUGUCACGCCUGUACGCUUUAUCAUAUUGACACAAAAAUUGACACACAUAUGUAUCUCAAUAAGAUCUACAAAAAAGUCAAUGCGCGCGUAUCUGUCAAAUGUACGGUUAAAGGGCUAUUUUGCAUUUUUUGCCGAUUCGCACACAUUGGAAUGUGGCUAACUCCUCCUAAGGCUUUCGUCCCACUGACACCAAAUUUGCUCAGGCCAAUCUACACCCCAUGGCCAUUCAAAGUUGUAAAAAUCAUGAUGCUGCACCCCACGGUUUACGUUCUAGGGGGCGCCAAAGAUGACCCAAAAAUCCACAUUCUUAAAGGAAUCCACAUCCCCCCCCAAGGCAGGAGAAAAAGUCAAGUUAACCCUGCCCAUCGCUCAAUGGCUCAAUCGCAUCGCUCUCCAGGCAACACCGUAAGGAGGAGCAACCUGCCAUUUCGAUAUAUCAUAGCUGUGUUUGUGCCCUCACUCAUGGUCCAGACUUUUUUCAAAUAGGACAUGAAGUUUGUCUGCAGCGAGUGUUUUGGUAGAAACCGCGCCUCCCAUUCAUUAUAAUGGGAAAUGACCACAGACAAGUGCGCACACCAUCUUUGGACCUUGAGUGUGACGCGAUCGGGAGGGGGAGGCGGUCGCGCUAGGGGCGGCGCGACGCGGCUCGGGCCCGACAGUGCCCCACCGGGGCCCUAGUUCUUUGUUUCUUUCUUUCUUUCUUUCUUUCUUUAGGGCCCGAGCAUAGCUGCUAAGCAGCUGCGAGAGCCCUCUUGUUCCUGAUGGAUUCUUCUUUUGUUAGGGCCCGAGCGUAGCUGCUAAGCAGCUGCGAGAGCCCUCUUGUUCCUGCAUGUUUCCUUCUUUCGUUAGGGCCCGAGCCAGCUGCAGAGCAGCCGGGCGUAGGCCCUGUUAUUCCUGUAGUGGUUUUUCUUUGUUUCUUUUUAGGGCCCGAGCCAGCUGCAGAGCAGCCGGGCGUAGGCCCUGUUAUUCCUGUAGUGGUUUUUCUUUGUUUCUUUUUAGGGCCCGAGCCAGCUGCAGAGCAGCCGGGCGUAGAGCCCUAUUUUUCCUGUAUAGGUUUUUCUUUCUUCUUUCUUUCUUUCUUUCUUUAGGGCCCGAGCCAGCUGCAGAGCAGCCGGGCGUAGGCCCUAUUAUUCCCCAAGUGGUUUUUCUUUGUUUCUUUCUUUAGGGCCCGAGCGUAGCUGCUAAGCAGCUGCGAGAGCCCUCUUGUUCCUGUAGUUUCCUUCUUUUGUUAGGGCCCGAGCGUAGCUGCUAAGCAGCUGCGAGAGCCCUAUUAUUCCCCAAUAGGUUUUUCUUUGUUUCUUUCUUUCUUCUUUUUCCUCCCCUUUGAACUGGAAAAUGGCCCACUUCCCACUGGCGAAAACUCAUGAAAUUUGGCAGGAUGACCGGGCCUGGUGAAAAAUUUGAUAUUCCGAAGUCGCCCAAACAAGAAAAUGCAAAAUGGCUCCAUAGCGCCCCCUAAGGUGAAAAUUCACACUAUUGACUGUCACGCCUUUACGCUUUGUCAAAAUGACACAAAAAUUGACACACAUAUGUAUCUCAAUAAGAUCUACAAAAAAGUCAGUGCGGGCGUAUCUGUCAAAUGUACGGUUAAAGGGUUAUUCCGCAUUUUUUGCCGAUCCGCACACAUUGGAAUUUCGCUAACUCCUCCGAAGGCUUUCUUUCCACCGGCACCACAUUUGCUCAGGCCAAUCUACACCCCAUGGCCAUUAAAAGUUAUUCAAAUCAUGACGCUGCACCCCACGGUUUAGGUUCUAGGGGGCGCCAAAGAUAACCCUAAAAUCCACAUAUUUCAAAGUCUUAUAACUUUUUAUUUUUGCCCUCACUGGCCUCCAAGUUUUCUAGGAUGAUGCAAUGUCCAGCCAUCAACACAUUUGUGAAGGAAUUUUUACUCCCCAAAAGAGCGCCCCCCCAUGGCCGGAGAAAAAAGUCCAUUUUUUCUUGUCCCCUAAGGUGAAAAUACACAUUGUUGAGUGUCACGCCUGUACGCUUUGUCAUAUUGACACAAAAUUUGACAAUCACGUGUAUCUCAAUAAGAUCUACGAAAAAGUCAAUGCGCGCGUAUCUGUCAAAUGUACGGUUAAAGGGUUAUUCCGCAUUUUUUGCUGAUCCGCACACAUUGGAAUUUCGCUAACUCCUCCUAAGGCUGGCGUUCCACCGGCACCACAUUUGCUCAGGCCAAUCUACACCCCAUGGCCAUUAAAAGUUAUUCAAAUCAUGACGCUGCACCCCACGGUUUAGGUUCUAGGGGGCGCCAAAGAUAACCCUAAAAUCCACAUAUUUCAAAGUCUUAUAACUUUUUAUUUUUGUCCUCACUGGCCUCCAAGUUUUCUAGGAUAAUGCAAUGUCCAGCCAUCAACACAUUUGUGAAGGAAUUUUUACUCCCCAAAAGAGCGCCCCCCCAUGGCAGGAGAAAAAAGUCCAUUUUUUCUUGUCCCGUAAGGUGAAAAUUCACAUUGUUGAGUGUGACACCUGUACGCUUUGUCAUAUUGACACAAAAUUUGACAAUCACGUGUAUCUCAAUAAGAUCUACGAAAAAGUCAAUGGGUGCGUAUCUGUCAAAUGUACGGUUAGAGGGCUAUUUUGCAUUUUUUGCCGAUUCGCACACAUUGGAAUGUGGCUAACUCCUCCUAAGGCUUUCGUCCCACUGACACCAAAUUUGCUCAGGCCAAUCUACACCCCAUGGCCAUUCAAAGUUGUAAAAAUCAUGACGCUGCACCCCACGGUUUACGUUCUAGGGGGCGCCAAAGAUGACCAAAAAAUCCACAUUCUUAAAAGAAUCCACAUUCUCCCCCCCAUGGCAGGAGAAAAAGUCAAGUUUUUCCUGCCCAUCGCUCAAUGGCUCAAUCGCAUCGCUCUCCAGGCAACACCGUAAGGAGGAGCAACCUGCCAUUUGGAUAUAUCCCAGCUGUGUUUGUGCCCUCACUCAUGGUCCAGACUUUUUUCAAAUAGGACAUGAAGUUUGUCUGCAGCGAGUGUUUUGGUAGAAACUGCGCCUCCCAUUCAUUAUAAUGGUAAAUGACCACAGACAAGUGCGCACACCAUCUUUGGACCUUGAGUGUGACGCGAUCGGGAGGGGUAGGCGGUCACGCUGGGGGCGGCACGACGCGGCUCGGGCCCGACAGUGCCCCACCGGGGCCCUAGUUAUUAGGGCCCGAGCGUAGCUGCUAAGCAGCUGCGAGAGCCCUAUUAUUCCCCAAGUGGUUUUUUAGGGCCCGAGCGUAGCUGCUAAGCAGCUGCGAGAGCCCUCUUGUUCCUGCAUGUUUCCUUCUUUUGUUAUUAUUAUUUUUCCUCCCCUUUGAACUGGAAAAUGGCCCACUUCCCACUGGCGAAAACUCAUGAAAUUUGGCAGGACGACCGGGCCUGGUGAAAAAUUUGAUAUUCUGAAGUCGCCCAAACAAUACAAUGCAAAAUGGCUCCAUAGCGCCCCCUAAGGUGAAAAAUUCACCUGACGCCUGUACGCUUUGUCAAAAUGACACAAAAAUUGACACACACAUGUAUCUCAAUAAGAUCUACAAAAAAGUCAGUGCGGGCGUAUCUGUCAAAUGUACGGUUAAAGGGUUAUUGCGCAUUUUUUGCCGAUCCGCACACAUUGGAAUUUCGCUAACUCCUCCGAAGGCUUUCGUUCCACCGGCACCACAUUUGCUCAGGCCAAUCUACACCCCAUGGCCAUUAAAAGUUAUUCAAAUCAUGACGCUGCACCCCACGGUUUAGGUUCUAGGGGGCGCCAAAGAUAACCCUAAAAUCCACAUAUUUCAAAGUCUUAUAACUUUUUAUUUUUGCCCUCACUGGCCUCCAAGUUUUCUAGGAUGAUGCAAUGUCCAGCCAUCAACACAUUUGUGAAGGAAUUUUUACUCCCCAAAAGAGCGCCCCCCCAUGGCAGGAGAAAAAAGUCCAUUUUUUCUUGUCCCAUAAGGUGAAAAUUCACACUAUUGACUGUCACGCCUGUACGCUUUGUCAAAAUUACACAAAAAUUGACACACACAUGUAUCUCAAUAAGAUCUACGAAAAAGUCAAAAAGCGCGUAUCUGUAUAAUGUACGGUUAAAGGGCUAUUUCGCAUUUUUUGCCGAUUCGCACACAUUGGAAUGUGGCUAUCUCCUCCUAAGGCUUUCGUCCCACCGAUACCAAAUUUGCUCAGGGCAAUCUACACCCCAUGCCCAUUCAAAGUUGUAAAAAUCAUGACACUGCACCCCACGGUUUACGUUUUAGGGGGCACCAAAGAUGACCCAAAAAUCCACAUUCUUAAAAGUCAUUUUGGCCACUGCAGGAGUACAGAGUACUGCAGUUCUAGGGGGCACCAAAGAUGACCCAAAAAUCCACAUUCUUAAAAGUCUUUUUGGCCACUGCAGGAGUACAGAGUACUGCAGGAUACACACACAUAUAUACACACACACACACACACACACACACACACACACACACACACACACGCACACACACUCAGAGUCUGUUUUUUAGCACCUGCAAAAACAUGCUGUUUACAUAUUUGACAAGAAUGCAGAGGCUUCCUUUUGCCCCUGAAAAAAAUCAGAUUUCAAACACAACUUGACUGUUCAUUUCUCCAAAAGACAACCAUGAAGCUCCAUCCAAACCUGAAGCAGAUAGUUGGUGCAUGUGUACAGUAACCUGAGGGGAGUGAGGUGACUAUUUCUGAGGAGAACAUGAGCAGUGAAGAUUCACCUUGGAGCUAGAACAGGGACGUGCACAUGAUUAUACAGGGGCAGGGGCUCAAGUUUUUUCCAGUCAUUUAUACAAUAUGGAAAUUAAUGUGAAAUUAAAACACAAAUAUGUGUGAUGAACUGUUUUUAAAACUUAAACUUCAAAUAAAAAUUGUAAACUUCAAAACAUAUGCAAAUUUUUAACAAAGAACAUAGUAAUUUACCUCUAUUUACAUCAAAAUGCAGGCAAUGGCCCAGGCGUUCUUUGUAAAAUUAUUUACAAAACACUGUAUAGUCUCACAAAUGUCACUUUUUAUUUAUGCCACAACAAAAAAACAUGAUGUAAAUGAUGCAUGAUGUAAAACAUGAUGUAAAAAACUUGUGUAGAUCCUCCUCUAUGUCAGUCCAUGUGUAAUUUUUCCAUAAUUCUUUGUUUUUUGCAGCAUUUUUGUUAGUGUAACUGCAGAUUGUGCUGACAGUGUCUAUGGCACAAAAAAAACAAAAACUGAAAAUGCCUCAACAUGAACCCCUGGUGGUCUCUGAGGGUGAAACCUGCUAACUGCUGCAGCUCUGUCAGCUUCAGUCUCCCAUGCAGAGCUCGGAGCGCAUGUGUGGCUCUGCACCCUUAGCAGCGUUGCUAACUCCUCAGUAAGGAAAGCCUGCUUCAUGUCAGAGUCUCUAAACUCCAGAAGAAGUCGAUAAAAGUCCCUUUCUUUCUAAAAAAAAGUCGUUAGGGGGUCUGAAAAGUCAUUGAAUCUAACAACAAAGUCGCUAGGUUUGCAACUACGUGUCCCAGACUGCAUCCCUGCUGAGAGUCCCUCCCUCGCUUCUCAUGUUGCAGGAAGAACGUAAGCGCCCGCCCCUUGUCAAUCAGUCACCAUAUAAUUUUGGAUUGGUUGUUGUGGUGAAGUUUUCCACCAAUAGGAGAGAUGUUGUGGUGUGUUUUUUUUUCUUUUGGCAAGCCUUUUCCGCCUGUAAGAGCUGUCGCUAAUGUCUGCAUGCUAUGUUUUCCUGUCUCAUACAGCGCGAUCGAGCGCCGAACGUGAUCAAAAUAAGCAGAAAAAAAGUAUCGCGGACAUAAUUUAUCAUAACUCUGGUUUUAUUUGGCCUAUCAACACAAUUUAAAAACUGGUAUAUAGGUUGAGGUCCUCACUUUUGAGAUAAGUUGAAACGGAGAGUCAACGAGGCUCCGUCUUGCAGCUACAUCCGGUUAAAUAUGUCAUGUGACUUGAACGCACACACAGACACACACACAGGCACACACACACACACACACACACACACACACACACUCAGAGUCUGGUUUUUAGCACCUGCAAAAACAUGCUAUUUACAUAUUUGACAAGAAUGCAGAGGCUCCUUUUGCCCCUGAAAAAAAUCAAAUUUCAAACACAACUUGACUGGUCAUUUCUCCAAAAGACAACCAUGAAGCUCCAUCCAAACCUGAAGCAGGUAGUUGGUGCAUGUGUACAGUAACCUGAGGGGAGUGAGGUGAGUGCUUCUGAGGAGAACAUGAGCUGUGAAGAUUCACCUUGGAGCUAGAACAGAGACAUGCACAUGAUUAUACAGGGGCAGGGGCUCAAGUUUUUUCCAGUCGUUUAUACAAUAUGGAAAUUAAUGUGAAAUUAAAACACAAAGUAUUAAUAAAAAGGUAAUGACUGUCCUGUGUAGGUGACAGUGAUAUCCAAUAGGCUAGGCACUCACGAGGCUGGCUGUGGCAAGUGUAAGUGAAAGCAACACGCACUGGCAAGAAGAACAGCAAACGCCGAUGAAGGAAAAGGGUCUUUGCAGUGAUGGGCGUUACCAGAGAGGGCGAUGGCCAGAGGACACAAAUGGGACGGGGAGGCAGCACGUUUGGGGGGGGGACGCGACACGGCUCGGGCCCGCCAGUGCCCCAACGGGGUCCUAGUCUUUGUUUCUUUUUUCUUUUUCCUCCCCUUUGAACUGGAAAAUGGCCCACUUCCCACUGGCGAAAACUCAUGAAAUUUGGCAGGACGACCGGGCCUGGUGAAAAAUUUGAUAUUCUGAAGUCGCCCAAACAAUACAAUGCAAAAUGGCUCCAUAGCGCCCCCUAAGGUGAAAAAUUCACCUGACGCCUGUACGCUUUGUCAAAAUGACACAAAAAUUGACACACACAUGUAUCUCAAUAAGAUCUACAAAAAAGUCAGUGCGGGCGUAUCUGUCAAAUGUACGGUUAAAGGGUUAUUGCGCAUUUUUUGCCGAUCCGCACACAUUGGAAUUUCGCUAACUCCUCCGAAGGCUUUUGUUCCACCGGCACCACAUUUGCUCAGGCCAAUCUACACCCCAUGGCCAUUAAAAGUUAUUCAAAUCAUUAUGCUGCACCCCACGGUUUAGGUUCUAGGGGGCGCCAAAGAUAACCCUAAAAUCCACAUAUUUCAAAGUCUUAUAACUUUUUAUUUUUGCCCUCACUGGCCUCCAAGUUUUCUAGGAUGAUGCAAUGUCCAGCCAUCAACACAUUUGUGAAGGAAUUUUUACUCCCCAAAAGAGCGCCCCCCCAUGGCAGGAGAAAAAAGUCAAUUUUUUCUUGUCCCGUAAGGUGAAAAUUCACAUUGUUGAGUGUGACACCUGUACGCUUUGUCAUAUUGACACAAAAUUUGACUAUCACGUGUAUCUCAAUAAGAUCUACGAAAAAGUCAAUGUGCGCGUAUCUGUCAAAUGUACGGUUAAAGGGUUAUUCCGCAUUUUUUGCCGAUCCGCACACAUUGGAAUUUCGCUAACUCCUCCGAAGGCUUUCGUUCCACCGGCACCACAUUUGCUCAGGCCAAAUUACACCCCAUGGCCAUUAAAAGUUAUUCAAAUCAUGACGCUGCACCCCACGGUUUACGUUCUAGGGGGCGCCAAAGAUAACCCAAAAAUCCACAUUUUUAAAAGUCUUAUAACUUUUUAUUUUUGUCCUCACUGGCCUCCAAGUUUUCUAGGAUGAUGCAAUGUCCAGCCAUCAACACAUUUGUGAAGGAAUUUUUACUCCCUAAAAGAGCGCCCCCCAUGGCAGGAGAAAAAAGUCCAUUUUUUCUUGUCCCCUAAGGUGAAAAUACACAUUGUUGACUGUCACGCCUGUACGCUUUGGCAAAAUGACACAAAAAUUGACAAUCAUGUGUAUCUCAAUUAGAUCUAUGAAAAAGUCAAAGAGCGCGUAUCUGUAUAAUGUACGGUAAAAGGGCUAUUUUGCAUUUUUUGCCGAUUCGCACACAUUGGAAUUUCGCUAACUCCUCCUAAGGCUUUCGUCCCAAUGACACCAAAUUUGCUCAGGCCAAUCUACACUCCAUGGCCAUUCAAAGUUGUAAAAAUCAUGAUGCUGCACCCCACGGUUUACGUUUUAGGGGGCGCCAAAGAUGACCCAAAUAUACAUUACAGUAGACAAAGUAGUUUUGCCCACUGAGUGGCGCCAAAGGGACUUGUCUGUGGAGUCUGUGAGUCACUAUUGGCCGUUUUUGACUACUUUAGAUUUUACCUUUAUAUUUCCUCUUACAAAAUUUUUACCUUGCCUUGCCUGGUAUCAUUUUUUUCAGCACAACCUCACCUGUGUCAAUUUACAGUUAUUUUAUCAUUUUGACAUACUGUAUUUACACAUUGGACCCAAAUUCACACACAAAACAUAAAAUCCGAGUGGAAAAAAGUAACGUUUUUACUGUGAAAACCACAAAUAUGUGUGAUGAACUGUUUUUAAAACUUAAACUUCAAAUAAAAAUUGUAAACUUCAAAACAUAUGCAAAUUUUUAACAAAGAACAUAGUAAUUUACCUCUAUUUACAUCAAAAUGCAGGCAAUGGCCCAGGUGUUCUUUGUAAAAUUAUUUACAAAACACUGUAUAGUCUCACAAAUGUCACUUUUUAUUUAUGCCACUACAAAAAAACAUGAUGUAAAUGAUGCAUGAUGUAAAACAUGAUGUAAAAAACUUGUGUAGAUCCUCCUCUGUUAGAAUUAUGGAAAAAUUACACAUGGACUUUGUUUUUUGCAGCAUUUUUGUUAGUGUAACUGCAGAUUGUGCUGACAGUGUCUAUGGCAAAAAAAAAAAAAAACUGAAAAUGCCUCAACAUGAACCCCUGGUGGUCUCUGAGGGUGAAACCUGCUAACUGCUGCAGCUCUGUCAGCUUCAGUCUCCCAUGCAGAGCUCGGAGCGCAUGUGUGGCUCUGCACCCUUAGCAGCGUUGCUAACUCCUCAGUAAGGAAAGCCUGCUUCAUGUCAGAGUCUCUAAACUCCAGAAGAAGUCGAUAAAAGUCACUUUCUUUCUAAAAAAAAGUCGUUAGGGGGUCUGAAAAGUCAUUGAAUCUAACAACAAAGUCGCUAGGUUUGCAACUACGUGUCCCAGACUGCAUCCCUGCUGAGAGUCCCUCCCUCCCUUCUCAUAUUGCAGGAAGAACGUAAGCGCCCGCCCCUUGUCAAUCAGUCACCAUAUAAUUUUGGAUUGGUUGUUGUGGUGAAGUUUUCCACCAAUAGGAGAGAUGUUGUGGUGUGUUUUUUUUUUCCUUUGGCAAGCCUUUUCCGCCUGUAAGACCUGUCGCGAAUGUCUGCAUGCUAUGUUUUCCUGUCUCAUACAGCGCGAUCGAGCGCCGAACGUGAUCAAAAUAAGCAGAAAACAAGUAUCGCGGACAUAAUUUAUCAUAACUCUGGUUUUAUUUGGCCUAUCAACACAAUUUAAAAACUGGUAUAUAGGUUGAGGUCCUCACUUUUGAGAUAAGUUGAAACGGAGAGUCAACGAGGCUCCGUCUUGCAGCUACAUCCGGUUAAAUAUGUCAUGUGACUUGAACGCACACACACACACACACACACACACAGACACACACACACACACGCACACACACACACUCAGAGUCUGGUUUUUAGCACCUGCAAAAACAUGCUAUUUACAUAUUUGACAAGAAUGCAGAGGCUCCUUUUGCCCCUGAAAAAAAUCAAAUUUCAAACACAACUUGACUGGUCAUUACUCCAAAAGACAACCAUGAAGCUCCAUCCAAACCUGAAGCAGGCAGUUGGUGCAUGUGUACAGUAACCUGAGGGGAGUGAGGUGACUGCUUCUGAGGAGAACAUGAGCAGUGAAGAUUCACCUUAGAGCUAGAACAGAGACGUGCACAUGAUUAUACAGGGGCAGGGGCUCAAGUUUUUUCCAGUUGUUUAUACAAUAUGGAAAUUAAUUUGAAAUUAAAAAACAAAGUAUUAAUAGAAAGGUAAUGACUGUCCUGUGUAGGUGACAGUGAUAUCCAAUAGGCUAGGCACUCACGAGGCUGGCUGUGGCAAGUGUAAGUGAAAGCAACACGCACUGGCAGGAAGAACAGCAAACGCCGAUGAAGGAAAAGGGUCUUUGCAGUGAUGGGCGUUACCAGAGAGGGCGAUGGCCAGAGGACACAAAUGGGACGGGGAGGCAGCGCGUUGGGGGGGGGGGCGACACAGCUCGGGCCCGCCAGUGCCCCAACGGGGUCCUAGUUAGGGCCCGAGCGUAGCUGCUAAGCAGCUGCGAGAGCCCUCUUGUUCCUGUAGUUUCCUUCUUUUGUUAUUAUUAGGGCCCGAGCGUAGCUGCUAAGCAGCUGCGAGAGCCCUCUUGUUCCUGUAGUUUCCUUCUUUUGUUAUUAUUAUUAUUUUUCCUCCCCUUUGAACUGGAAAAUGGCCCACUUCCCACUGGCGAAAACUCAUGAAAUUUGGCAGGACGACCGGGCCUGGUGGAAAAUUUGAUAUUCCGAAGUCGCCCAAACAAGAAAAUGCAAAAUGGCUCCAUAGCGCCCCCUAAGGUGAAAACUCACACUAUUCACUGUCACGCCUGUACGCUUUGUCAAAAUGACACAAAAAUUGACACACACAUGUAUCUCAAUAAGAUCUACAAAAAAGUCAGUGCGGGCGUAUCUGUCAAAUGUACGGUUAAUGGGUUAUUUUGCAUUUUUUGCAGAUCUGCACACAUUGGAAUUUCGCUAACUCCUCCGAAGGCUUUCGUUCCACCGGCACCACAUUUGCUCAGGCCAAUCUACACCCCAUGGCCAUUAAAAGUUAUUCAAAUCAUGACGCUGCACCCCACGGUUUAGGUUCUAGGGGGCGCCAAAAAUAACCCUAAAAUCCACAUAUUUAAAAGUCUUAUAACUUUUUAUUUUUGUCCUCACUGGCCUCCAAGUUUUCUAGGAUGAUGCAAUGUCCAGCCAUCAACACAUCUGUGAAGGAAUUUUUACUCCCCAAAAGAGCGCCCCCCCAUGGCAGGAGAAAAAAGUCCAUUUUUUCUUGUCCCCUAAGGUGAAAAUACACAUUGUUGAGUGUCACGCCUAUACGCUUUGUCAAAAUGACACAAAAAUUGACACACACAUGUAACUCAAUAAGAUCUACAAAAAAGUCCAUGCGCGCGUAUCUGUCAAAUGUACAGUUAAAGGGUUAUUCCGCAUUUUUUGCCGAUACGCACACAUUGGAAUUUCGCUAACUCCUCCGAAGGCUUUCGUUCCACCGGCACCACAUUUGCUCAGGCCAAUCUACACCCCAUGGCCAUUAAAAGUUAUUCAAAUCAUGAUGCUGCACCCCAUGGUUUAGGUUCUAGGGGGCGCCAAAAAUAACCCAAAAAUCCACAUUCUUAAAUGUUUUAUAACUUUUUAUUUUUGUCCUCACUGGCCUCCAAGUUUUCUAGGAUGAUGCAAUGUCCAGCCAUCAACACAUUUGUGAAGGAAUUUUUACUCCCCAAAAGAGCGCCCCCCAUGGUAGGAGAAAAAGUCAAUUUUUUCUUGUCCCCUUACAUGAAAAUACACAUUGUUGAGUGUCACGCCUGAACGCUUUGUCAUAUUGACACAAAAAUUGACAAUCAUGUGUAUCUCAAUUAGAUCUACGAAAAAGUCAAGAGCGCGUAUCUUUAUAAUGUACGGUUAAAGGGUUAUUUUGCAUUUUUUGCCGAUUCGCACACAUUGGAAUGUGGCUAUCUCCUCCUAAGGCUUUCGUCCCACCGAUACCAAAUUUGCUCAGGGCAAUCUACACUCCAUGGCCAUUCAAAGUUGUAAAAAUCAUGACGCUGCACCCCACGGUUUACGUUCUAGGGGGCGCCAAAGAUGACCCAAAAAUCCACAUUCUUAAAAGUCAUUUUGGCCACUGCAGGAGUACAGAGUACUGCAGUUCUAGGGGGCGCCAAAGAUGACCCAAAAAUCCACAUUCUUAAAAGUCUUUUUGGCCACUGCAGGAGUACAGAGUACUGCAGGAUACACACACAUAUACACACACGCCAACAUACACACACACACACACACACACACACACACAGAGACACACACACACACUCAGAGUCUGUUUUUUAGCACCUGCAAAAACAUGCUGUUUACAUAUUUGACAAGAAUGCAGAGGCUUCCUUUUGCCCCUGAAAAAAAUCAAAUUUCAAACACAACUUGACUGUUCAUUUCUCCAAAAGACAACCAUGAAGCUCCAUUUCAAACCUGAAGCAGAUAGUUGGUGCAUGUGUACAGUAACCUGAGGGGAGUGAGGUGACUAUUUCUGAGGAGAACAUGAGCAGUGAAGAUUCACCUUGGAGCUAGAACAGGGACGUGCACAUGAUUAUACAGGGGCAGGGGCUCAAGUUUUUUCCAGUCAUUUAUACAAUAUGGAAAUUAAUGUGAAAUUAAACCACAAAUAUGUGUGAUGAACUGUUUUUAAAACUUAAACUUCAAAUAAAAAUUGUAAACUUCAAAACAUAUGCAAAUUUUUAACAAAGAACAUAGUGAUUUACCUCUGUUUACAUCAAAAUGCAGGCAAUGGCCCAGGCGUUCUUUGUAAAAUUAUUUACAAAACACUGUAUAGUCUCACAAAUGUCACUUUUUAUUUAUGCCACUACAAAAAAACAUGAUGUAAAUGAUGCAUGAUGUAAAACAUGAUGUAAAAAACUUGUGUAGAUCCUCCUCUAUGUCAGUCCAUGUGUAAUUUUUCCAUAAUUCUUUGUUUUUUGCAGCAUUUUUGUUAGUGUAACUGCAGAUUGUGCUGACAGUGUCUAUGGCACAAAAAAAAAAAAAAAUUAAAAUGCCUCAACAUGAACCCCUGGUGGUCUCUGAGGGUGAAACCUGCUAACUGCUGCAGCUCUGUCAGCUUCAGUCUCCCAUGCAGAGCUCUGAGCGCAUGUGUGGCUCUGCACCCUUAGCAGCGUUGCUAACUCCUCAGUAAGGAAAGCCUGCUUCAUGUCAGAGUCUCUAAACUCCAGAAGAAGUCGAUAAAAGUCCCUUUCUUUCUAAAAAAAAGUCGUUAGGGGGUCUGAAAAGUCAUUGAAUCUAACAACAAAGUCGCUAGGUUUGCAACUACGUGUCCCAGACUGCAUCCCUGCUGAGAGUCCCUCCCUCUCUUCUCAUGUUGCAGGAAGAACGUAAGCGCCCGCCCCUUGUCAGUCAGUCACCAUAUAAUUUUGGAUUGGUUGUUGUGGUGAAGUUUUCCACCAAUAGGAGAGAUGUUGUGGUGUGUUUUUUUUUUCUUUUGGCAAGCCUUUUCCGCCUGUAAGACCUGUCGCUAAUGUCUGCAUGCUAUGUUUUCCUGUCUCAUACAGCGCGAUCGAGCGCCGAACGUGAUCAAAAUAAGAAGAAAAAAAGUAUCGCGGACAUAAUUUAUCAUAACUCUGGUUUUAUUUGGCCUAUCAACACAAUUUAAAAACUGGUAUAUAGGUUGAGGUCCUCACUUUUGAGAUAAGUUGAAACGGAGAGUCAACGAGGCUCCGUCUUGCAGCUACAUCCGGUUAAAUAUGUCAUGUGACUUGAACGCACACACAGACACACACACACGCACACGCACGCACACACACACACACACACACACACACACACACACACACACACACACACACUCAGAGUCUGGUUUUUAGCACCUGCAAAAACAUGCUAUUUACAUAUUUGACAAGAAUGCAGAGGCUCCUUUUGCCCUGAAAAAAAUCAAAUUUCAAACACAACUUGACUGGUCAUUUCUCCAAAAGACAACCAUGAAGCUCCAUCCAAACCUGAAGCAGGCAGUUGGUGCAUGUGUACAGUAACCUGAGGGGAGUGAGGUGAGUGCUUCUGAGGAGAACAUGAGCAGUGAAGAUUCACCUUGGAGCUAGAACAGAGACAUGCACAUGAUUAUACAGGGGCAGGGGCUCAAGUUUUUUCCAGUCGUUUAUACAAUAUGGAAAUUAAUGUGAAAUUAAAACACAAAGUAUUAAUAGAAAGGUAAUGACUGUCCUGUGUAGGUGACAGUGAUAUCCAAUAGGCUAGGCACUCACGAGGCUGGCUGUGGCAAGUGUAAGUGAAAGCAACACGCACUGGCAGGAAGAACAGCAAACGCCGAUGAAGGAAAAGGGUCUUUGCAGUGAUGGGCGUUACCAGAGAGGGCGAUGGCCAGAGGACACAAAUGGGACGGGGAGGCAGCACGUUGGGGGGGGGGGGGGCGCGACACGGCUCGGGCCCGCCAGUGCCCCAACGGGGUCCUAGUUCUUUCUUUCUUUCUUCUUUUUCCUCCCCUUUGAACUGGAAAAUGGCCCACUUCCCACUGGCGAAAACUCAUGAAAUUUGGCAGGAUGACCGGGCCUGGUGAAAAAUUUGAUAUUCCGAAGUCGCCCAAACAAGAAAAUGCAAAAUGGCUCCAUAGCGCCCCCUAAGGUGAAAAUUCACACUAUUGACUGUCACGCCUUUACGCUUUGUCAAAAUGACACAAAAAUUGACACACAUAUGUAUCUCAAUAAGAUCUACAAAAAAGUCAGUGCGGGCGUAUCUGUCAAAUGUACGGUUAAAGGGUUAUUCCGCAUUUUUUGCCGAUCCGCACACAUUGGAAUUUCGCUAACUCCUCCGAAGGCUUUCUUUCCACCGGCACCACAUUUGCUCAGGCCAAUCUGCACCCCAUGGCCAUUAAAAGUUAUUCAAAUCAUGACGCUGCACCCCACGGUUUAGGUUCUAGGGGGCGCCAAAGAUAACCCUAAAAUCCACAUAUUUAAAAGUCUUAUAACUUUUUAUUUUUGCCCUCACUGGCCUCCAAGUUUUCUAGGAUGAUGCAAUGUCCAGCCAUCAACACAUUUGUGAAGGAAUUUUUACUCCCCAAAAGAGCGCCCCCCCAUGGCCGGAGAAAAAAGUCCAUUUUUUCUUGUCCCCUAAGGUGAAAAUACACAUUGUUGAGUGUCACGCCUGUACGCUUUGUCAUAUUGACACAAAAUUUGACACACACAUGUAUCUCAAUAAGAUCUACGAAAAAGUCAAUGCGCGC